GAUGAACGCUGGCGGCGUGCCUAAUACAUGCAAGUAGAACGCUGAAGGAGGAGCUUGCUCUUCUGGAUGAGUUGCGAACGGGUGAGUAACGCGUAGGUAACCUGCCUGGUAGCGGGGGAUAACUAUUGGAAACGAUAGCUAAUACCGCAUGACAACAGUUAUUGCAUGAUAACUGUUUAAAAGGGGCAACUGCUCCACUAACAGAUGGACCUGCGUUGUAUUAGCUAGUUGGUGAGGUAACGGCUCACCAAGGCGACGAUACAUAGCCGACCUGAGAGGGUGAUCGGCCACACUGGGACUGAGACACGGCCCAGACUCCUACGGGAGGCAGCAGUAGGGAAUCUUCGGCAAUGGACGGAAGUCUGACCGAGCAACGCCGCGUGAGUGAAGAAGGUUUUCGGAUCGUAAAGCUCUGUUGCAAGAGAAGAACGAGUGUGAGAGUGGAAAGUUCACACUGUGACGGUAUCUUACCAGAAAGGGACGGCUAACUACGUG
rnacentral:rRNA from 1 species